CAGUCACCGCGGUGGGGAGGACAGCCAAUCUGGAUCACAGCACUCAAACAGGGAGUGAAGGCUGCCACCUUCUUUUGGCCUGUUGCUAUCCCAUUGAGAGAACGCAUCUGACCAUG